rnacentral:rRNA from 1 species
CAGGAUGAACGCUAGCGAUAGGCUUAACACAUGCAAGUCGAGGGGCAGCACGGUGUAGCAAUACACUGGUGGCGACCGGCGUACGGGUGCGUAACACGUAUGCAACCUACCCGCUAUUGGGGGAUAACCCGGCGAAAGUCGGACUAAUACCCCAUAUUAUUCUUACCGGGCAUCCGGUAGGUCUGAAAGAUUUAUCGAUUGCGGAUGGGCAUGCGGAUGAUUAGCUAGUAGGUGGGGUAACGGCUCACCUAGGCGACGAUCAUUAGGGGUUCUGAGAGGAAGGUCCCCCCACACUGGAACUGAGACACGGUCCAGACUCCUACGGGAGGCAGCAGUGAGGAAUAUUGGUCAAUGGGCGCUAGCCUGAACCAGCCAAGUCGCGUGAAGGAUGACAAGAUCUAUGGUUUGUAAACUUCUUUUGCAGGGGAGUAAAGUGCGACACGUGUGUUGUAUUGCAAGUACCCUGCGAAUAAGCAUCGGCUAACUCCGUGCCAGCCGCAGC